rnacentral:misc_RNA from 1 species
AGCCAUGAAGGUGGAGACCAGGAUGAACACGACGAAGUACACCCAAGCGAAAGGGUGCUGCUCCAUGACGGGCUUCACGAUGCCGCCUGACCAGUCGUCGAAGGUCAUGACCUGGAAGAGCGUGUAGGCGGUCUGCCCGAGCCCACCGAAGAGGUCAGGAUGGGUGGGACCGUAGAGCUUCGCCCCCAUGACCGAGAACACGUAGAAGAUCAGGCACAGGAGCAGGAGGAUCGAGCCCAUGCCGGGGAGAGCGGUGAUCAGCCCUCCGACGAUCCGCCUCAGCGAUGGUAAGAUCGUGAUGAGGCGCAGCACCCGCAGGAUGCGCAGCGCCAGCAGCACCGAGAGCGAGUCCGUCACCGGCACCAGCGCCACGCUGACCACAGCGAGAUCGAAGAGGCUCCAGGGAUCGCGGAAGAAGCGCUCCCGGUACACGGCGAUGCGUGCUGCGAGUUCGGCGACGAAGACCGCAAGGAUCGCCU